AAGCAGGAUUUAGACUACAAUUUAGCGGUUCAUUGCUGUGUCAUCAUUCCUCCUGCUAAAAAUGAAAUUAUUUUUUAACCUAUCCCUGUGUGCUGAACUCUUGUAGCGGCCAGGGAGGCUUGGUCUCAUACAC
rnacentral:snoRNA from 1 species